rnacentral:rRNA from 1 species
UGGGAGGGCAAGUCUGGUGCCAGCAGCCGCGGUAAUUCCAGCUCUCAAAAUGCAUAGAAUUAUUGCUGCGGUUAAAAAGCUCGUAGUUGGAUCUGUGCUGGGAACUGGGUCCGCCUUCGGGUGUGCACUCAGCUUCCCGGCUUUUUGCUGGUUUUCCCGUUGUGGCCUUUACCGGUUGCAGCGGGUGGCUGGCGAGUUUACCUUGAAGAAAUCAAAGUGCUUAAUACAGGCGAUUUGCUUGAAUGUGGUGCAUGGAAUAAUAGAAAAGGAUUUCGGUUCUCUUUUAUUGGUUUUACGAGCUGAGAUAAUGGUUAACAGAGACAAACGGGGGCAUUCGUAUCGUUGCGUGAGAGGUGAAAUUCUUGGACCGCAGCGAGACGAACUACAGCGAAAGCAUUUGCCAAGAAUGUCUUCAUUAAUCAAGAACGAAAGUCAGAGGUUCGAAGGCGAUCAGAUACCGCCCUAGUUCUGACCGUAAAAA